AUGCUCGCUUCGGCAGCACAUAUACUAAAAUUGGAACGAUAGAGAUUAGCAUGGCCCCUGCGCAAGGAUGACACGCAAAUUCGUGAAGUGUUCCAUUAUUUU
rnacentral:snRNA from 1 species